rnacentral:rRNA from 1 species
ACUCAAAGGAAUUGACGGGGACUUGCACAAGCAGAGGAUUAUGUGGUUCAAUUCGAUGACAAACGAAAAACCUUACCAAGAUUAGACAUCUAACUGAAUCUCCGGAGAAACUCGGAGAGUCCCACAAGGACAGUUAGACAGGUGUUGCAUGGCCGUCGUCAGUUCGUGAUUUGAGUUGUUCCCUUCAGUGGGGUAACGAACGCAACCCUCGUUGCCUGUUAUACGUGUCAGGCGAGACUGCCUCUUACCAGAGGAGGAAGGUGAGGAUGACGCCAGGUCAGCAUGACCCUAGAUAUCUUGGGCUACACACAUAAUACAAUCGCCGAUACAACGGGUCGCGACGCAGUAAUGCUGAGCUAAUCCUAAUAAAGUCGGCGCCAGUUCGGAUUGGGGGCUGAAACUCGACCCCAUGAAGUUGGAUUUGCUAGUAAUCGCGGGUCAGCUAUACCGCGGUGAAUACGUUCUCAAGUCUUGUACACACCGCCCGU